AAAAAAAUUAUAACGAUUCCCAUAUACCAUGAAAAAGAGCUUAAAAUACAUUAAUACAAAUGUAGAAUGUGGUCAAAAAUUUUAAAACAACACUAAAGAUUAUAGGCUUCAAAAAACUCAAUAUUUUCGAAGGGGUUAGCGCAUAGAUUUUGAGAAAAUUUUUAAAAAUACGACAAUAUUGUUUUAAUGCAUAGUUGCAUCCCACACUAACAUAUGAUGAUAUUCAAAGGGUUUGGAGUCUUACUUGUCUCUAUUUUUCAAGAAAAUAGUGAUUUUAUGUGGUUAUUCCAUCGAUUUAGGGAGUAUUAUGAAGUUUUACUAAAUUAUUGAUAAAAACAAUUGAACUAUGCUCAUUUACCAUAAAAAGAUUUACAUACAUUAAUACAAAUGUAGAAUAUGAAUGUGGUUAGAAAUUUUAAAACAACACUAAAGAGUAUAGGCUUCAGUAUAUAAAUUAAAUACCAAAAACUCAAUAUUUUCGUAGGGGUUAGGACAUAGAUUUUGAGAAAAUUACAAAAAAUAUGACAAUAUUGUUUUAAUGCAUAGUUGCAUCAUGCACUAACAUAUGAUGAUGUUCAAAAAGGUUUGAGUCUUAGUUGUCUCUAAUUUUCAAGAAAAUAGUGAUUUUAUAGUGGUUAUUCCAUCGAUUUAGGGAGUAUUAUGAAGUUUUACUAAAUUAAUUGAUAAACACAAUUGAACGAUGCUCAUUUACCAUGAAAAAUAGUUUAACAUACACUAAUACAAAUG